rnacentral:rRNA from 1 species
UAGGGAAUCUUCGGCAAUGGACGAAAGUCUGACCGAGCAACGCCGCGUGAGUGAAGAAGGUUUUCGGAUCGUAAAACUCUGUUGUUAGAGAAGAACAAGGACGUUAGUAACUGAACGUCCCCUGACGGUAUCUAACCAGAAAGCCACGGCUAACUACGUGCCAGCAGCCGCGGUAAUACGUAGGUGGCAAGCGUUGUCCGGAUUUAUUGGGCGUAAAGCGAGCGUAGGCGGUUUCUUAAGACUGAUGUGAAAGCCCCCGGCUCAACCGGGGAGGGUCAUUGGAAACUGGGAGACUUGAGUGCAGAAGAGGAGAGUGGAAUUCCAUGUGUAGCGGUGAAAUGCGUAGAUAUAUGGAGGAACACCAGUAGCGAAGGCGGCUCUCUGGUCUGUAACUGACGCUGAGGCUCGAAAGCGUGGGGAGCAAACAGG